CUUGCACUGGAACAACAGGAUGCCCUCCUGCUCCAUCAAAAGACUGUUCCACCCGAACAUUUUACAAAACCAUCGAUAAUGUCAAAUGUAUAUCGGGCUGCAAACAUUGGUGUUGCAAAACUGAAGAAGAAGUACUAAAAGAUUGUCCCAAAACCAGCCCUGACAAUCCAUACUGUAUACACACUAAUGUUGUACGUUACACUAUCAAUGGAAGAAAGUGUCCAGUAUAUUGUGGUUGUAUACCGGACUGCAGAAAAUUGACAUGCUAAAUCAAAUAAAGAGUUGCCCUUAAUAACGCUUAUAUAUUAUAUUGUAUAAUGUUUACAUGUGUCUUUCUCCGUUUAACCGAAAUAUUCAUAUUGUUUUUUAAUAGGUUUUCAAAAUAUACUAAAACACUUCCCAGUUAAUCCAAGUUAUCUCACACCACUGUAUUAAAUAUAGUUACAUGUAUAAACAAUCUUUACACUACAUACAUUAGUGUAUGUUCUGUUAUGUUAAUAGUGUAGUUCACUGAUCAGAAUUUAAAAAAAGGAGAGAUUAAUUAAAAACAAAUUGUUUAACCCCGUCUUAUGUAUUUGUUUGAUGCCCCGAAGUCACUAACCUCGUCCUCAGCCGGCUUUUGUCAUAUCUUAAUGUUGUUUUUUUAAUUUUUUUAUUAUUAUUUGAGAAAAUAAAACAGA
rnacentral:lncRNA from 1 species